UAGUCAAAUGUGUCAGAUCCUAU
rnacentral:snRNA from 1 species